rnacentral:rRNA from 1 species
GACAUAGGUGGCGAACGUUAUUCGGAAUCACUGGGCAUAAAGGGCGCGUAGGCGGCUUUCUAAGUCAGGGGUGAAAUCCGGCAGCUCAACUGUCGCAGUGCCUUUGAUACUGGAGAGCUCGAGGGAGGUAGGGGUCUGUGGAACUUCCGGUGGAGCGGUGAAAUGCGUUGAUAUCGGAAGGAACGCCGGUGGCGAAAGCGACGGACUGGAUCUCUUCUGACGCUGAGGCGCGAAAGCCAGGGGAGCAAACGGG